rnacentral:rRNA from 1 species
AUGGGGAAAGAGACGGAGACGCCGCAUUUGCCGGGGAUGUUGGCGGCGUUACCCAUGCUGAUGCCCGACCCCGCCAGGUUCUUGAGGCAGUUGCACGCCGCCUUCCGGUCGGCCGGGGUGGACGCCUUGGCGUUCAGGGUCCUCACCCCGCUGCAGCACGCCCCCGAGGGUGCCGACGCUUGCCCCCUCGCGUAG